GGAAUUUUGGACAAUGGGCGCAAGCCUGAUCCAGCAAUGCCGCGUGAGUGAAGAAGGCCUUCGGGUUGUAAAGCUCUUUUGUCAGGGAAGAAACGGGUUUUUCUAAUACAGAGACCUAAUGACGGUACCUGAAGAAUAAGCACCGGCUAACUACGUGCCAGCAGCCGCGGUAAUACGUAGGGUGCAAGCGUUAAUCGGAAUUACUGGGCGUAAAGCGUGCGCAGGCGGUUUUGUAAGACUGUCGUGAAAUCCCCGGGCUCAACCUGGGAAUGGCGAUGGUGACUGCAAGGCUAGAGUUUGGCAGAGGGGGGUAGAAUUCCACGUGUAGCAGUGAAAUGCGUAGAUAUGUGGAGGAACACCGAUGGCGAAGGCAGCCCCCUGGGUCAAAACUGACGCUCAUGCACGAAAGCGUGGGGAGCAAACAGGAUUAGAUACCCGAG
rnacentral:rRNA from 1 species